AUUGAACGCUGGCGGCAGGCUUAACACAUGCAAGUCGAACGGUAACAUAAAGAAGCUUGCUUCUUUGAUGACGAGUGGCGGACGGGUGAGUAAUGCUUGGGAAUCUAGCUUAUGGAGGGGGAUAACUACGGGAAACUGUAGCUAAUACCGCGUAGAAUCGAGAGAUGAAAGUGUGGGACCUUCGGGCCACAUGCCAUAGGAUGAGCCCAAGUGGGAUUAGGUAGUUGGUGAGGUAAAGGCUCACCAAGCCGACGAUCUCUAGCUGGUCUGAGAGGAUGACCAGCCACACUGGGACUGAGACACGGCCCAGACUCCUACGGGAGGCAGCAGUGGGGAAUAUUGCGCAAUGGGGGCAACCCUGACGCAGCCAUGCCGCGUGAAUGAAGAAGGCCUUCGGGUUGUAAAGUUCUUUCGGUAGCGAGGAAGGCAUUUAGUUUAAUAGACUAGGUGAUUGACGUUAACUACAGAAGAAGCACCGGCUAACUCCGUGCCAGCAGCCGCGGUAAUACGGAGGGUGCGAGCGUUAAUCGGAAUAACUGGGCGUAAAGGGCACGCAGGCGGUGACUUAAGUGAGGUGUGAAAGCCCCGGGCUUAACCUGGAAAUUGCAUUUCAUACUGGGUCGCUAGAGUACUUUAGGGAGGGGUAGAAUUCCACGUGUAGCGGUGAAAUGCGUAGAGAUGUGGAGGAAUACCGAAGGCGAAGGCAGCCCCUUGGGAAUGUACUGACGCUCAUGUGCGAAAGCGUGGGGAGCAAACAGG
rnacentral:rRNA from 1 species